rnacentral:rRNA from 1 species
UGGGGAAUUUUGGACAAUGGGCGAAAGCCUGAUCCAGCAAUGCCGCGUGCAGGAUGAAGGCCUUAGGGUUGUAAACUGCUUUUGUACGGAACGAAACGGCUCCUUCUAAUACGAGGAGCUAAUGACGGUACCGUAAGAAUAAGCACCGGCUAACUACGUGCCAGCAGCCGCGGUAAUACGUAGGGUGCGAGCGUUAAUCUGAAUUACUGGGCGUAAAGCGUGCGCAGGCGGUUAUAUAAGACAGAUGUGAAAUCCCCGGGCUCAACCUGGGACCUGCAUUUGUGACUGUAUAGCUAGAGUACGGUAGAGGGGGAUGGAAUUCCGCGUGUAGCAGUGAAAUGCGUAGAUAUGCGGAGGAACACCGAUGGCGAAGGCAAUCCCCUGGACCUGUACUGACGCUCAUGCACGAAAGCGUGGGGAGCAAACA